rnacentral:rRNA from 1 species
AGGGUUUGAUCAUGGCUCAGAACGUACGCUGGCGGCACGCCUAACACAUGCAAGUCGAACGAAGUAGCAAUACUUAGUGGCAGACGGGUGAGUAACAUGUGGGUAUCUGCCCUUUGGCCUGGAAUAACACGAGGAAACUUGUGCUAAUACCGGAUAAGUCUUUACGGAGAAAGCUUUAUGCACCAUUGGAUGAGCCCGCACUUGAUUAGUUUGUUGGUGGGGUAAUGGCCUACCAAGACUGUGAUCAAUAGCUGAUUUGAGAGGAUGAUCAGCCACAUUGGGACUGAGACACGGCCCAAACUCCUACGGGAGGCAGCAGUGGGGAAUCUUGCACAAUGGAGGAAACUCUGAUGCAGCGAUGCCGCGUGAGUGAAGAAGGCCCUUGGGUUGUAAAGCUCUUUCGUCGGGGAAGAAAAUGACUGUACCCGAAUAAGAAGGUCCGGCUAACUUCGUGCCAGCAGCCGCGGUAAUACGAAGGGACCUAGCGUAGUUCGGAAUUACUGGGCUUAAAGAGUUCGUAGGUGGUUGAAAAAGUUAGUGGUGAAAUCCCAGAGCUUAACUCUGGAACUGCCAUUAAAACUUUUCAGCUAGAGUAUGAUAGAGGAAAGCAGAAUUUCUAGUGUAGAGGUGAAAUUCGUAGAUAUUAGAAAGAAUACCAAUUGCGAAGGCAGCUUUCUGGAUCAUUACUGACACUGAGGAACGAAAGCAUGGGUAGCGAAGAGGAUUAGAUACCCUCGUAGUCCAUGCCGUAAACGAUGUGUGUUAGACGUUGGAAAUUUAUUUUCAGUGUCGCAGCGAAAGCGAUAAACACACCGCCUGGGGAGUACGACCGCAAGGUUAAAACUCAAAUGAAUUGACGGGGACCCGCACAAGUAGUGGAGCAUGUGGUUUAAUUCGAAGAUACGCGCAGAACCUUACCAACACUUGACAUGUUCGUCGCGACUCUAAGAGAUUAGAGUUUUCGGUUCGGCCGGACGAAACACAGGUGCUGCAUGGCUGUCGUCAGCUCGUGUCGUGAGAUGUUGGGUUAAGUCCCGCAACGAGCGCAACCCUCACUUUUAGUUGCCAUCAUUAAGUUGGGCACUCUGAAAGAACUGCCAGUGAUAAGCUGGAGGAAGGUGGGGAUGACGUCAAGUCCUCAUGGCCCUUACGUGUUGGGCUACACACGUGCUACAAUGGUAUCUACAACAGGAAGCAAGACUGCGAGGUCAAGCAAAUCCUUAAAAGAUACCUCAGUUCGGAUUGCACUCUGCAACUCGAGUGCAUGAAGCUGGAAUUACUAGUAAUCGUGGAUCAGCGUGCCACGGUGAAUGCGUUCCCGGGUCUUGUACACACCGCCCUUCACACCAUGGGAGUUGGUUCUACCUUAAGGCAAGGUUUCAAACCCUUGACCACGGUAUAGUCAGCGACUGGGGUGAAGUCGUAACAAGGUAGCCGUA